UACGUAGGGGGCAAGCGUUGUCCGGAUUUAUUGGGCGUAAAGCGCUCGCAGGUGGUCCGAUGCGUCGUGCGUGAAAGACCCUGGCUCAACUGGGGAGUGUCGUGCGAUAGGUCGGACUGGAGGCCAGUAGGGGGAUGCGGAAUUCCGGGUGGUAGUGGUGGAAUGCGUAGAGAUCCGGAGGAACACCAGCGGCGAAGGCGGCAUCCUGGACUGGUCCUGACACUCAGGAGCGAAAGCGUGGGGAGCGAUCCGG
rnacentral:rRNA from 1 species